ACAAGCAUAAAACACCAAAUUCGUCACAAAAUUCAACUUCAAGGGACUUGAGCUUUCGAAUCUCGCUAAUCAGUCACCAAAAACGCUAAAUCGGACGAAAUACAAAGUGAAAUUCAAAAAUAAACUACACUGGCGACAAGCAAUGACAUGUUUGGAUCUCGGUAAAGUGAUCGGAGAUCUUGUCAAACAUUUAAAAUGAAAAUUUAUGG
rnacentral:misc_RNA from 1 species